rnacentral:lncRNA from 1 species
CUGGGGAAAUUGCAACACGCUUCUUUAAAUGGCAGAGAGAAGGAGAAAACUUAGAUCUUCUGAUACCAAAUCACUGAACCUUGGAAGGUCAGAAAUCUUUCAAGCCCUGCAGGACCAUAAAAUGCCCGUGUCCAACAGAAGCACUGGGGCAUGAGUGGGGAAGGAAUAGAAACAGAGUCAGAAAGGGGAUAAGAGAAGAAUAAAAGGGAAAGUAGUGAAGGCAGGGAGGCAAAUUGCUUAGUGUGAAUAUGCACACGUUCAUUUAGUUUUCAAAUCCUUGUUGAGCAUGAUAAAGUUCCCAGCAUCAAUCCUCACGUGUUGGUUUCCAUUAGGAUCUGCCUGGGGGACUAUCUGCUGAAUCAGUGGCUCUGAGCUGAACCAGGAAAUUCACUAUGAUUAGGAGAGUCGCAGUGUUAGUCAGGGUCUCUCCGAAAAAAAGUUAUACCCAAGAGACAGGAUCUUCUGAUCCGAAAUUUUCUUCACUUCUGAAAUUCUCUGGUUUGUGCUCAUCAUUGGCAGCUAUUUGUUCAUCAAGAGUUGUGUAGUUGGCUUCUUCUGGAAAAAGGAAUCUGCGUCAUAUCUAAGUCAGAUUUCAUUCUGGUGCUCUCAGAGCAGUUAGCCCAGGAAAGGGGCCGGCUUCUGUGGCUACUGCUGCAGAGGCAGAUGCAGUUUGUGUCCCACAGAUAUUAACUUCGAUAAGCACUUAAUGAGGGCCUUCUCUGCGCGAGAAUGGGGAGGAACAAAAUGCAGCUCCUGCCCUCCUGGGGCUUUAGUUGUACCUUAGUAAGAGGAAUUUUCAUCUGCCUGGCUCCUUUCCUCAAAGAACAAAGAAGACUUUGCUUCAUUAAAGUGUCUGAGAAAGAAGAAUCUUGUAACAGACACUACUCAAUACAUUGAUCUCAACUGAUCCAGUUCUCCAGUCUCCCUGGAAAACAAUGGAUUGACGCCCAGGGUGCGCUGCACACCGGACCCACGGUCAUUUCUGCACUUCACACGAUUCUGCUCCCACCAGUUGAGCUACCAACAGUUCCUGGUGCUUUUGCUUCCCAAACAUGUUUAUGUCAUUUGUUGCUUAUUACUGUACUUACUUAAUUUGAUUAAACAUUAAGUAAAAUGAUGAAAUACGAG